rnacentral:rRNA from 1 species
GAUGAACGCUAGCGGGAGGCCUAACACAUGCAAGCCGAGCGGUAUUUGUUCUUCGGAACAGAGAGAGCGGCGCACAGGUGCGGAACACGUGUGCAACCUGCCUUUAUCUGGGGGAUAGCCUUUCGAAAGGAAGAUUAAUACCCCAUAAUAUAUUGAGUGGCAUCAUUUGAUAUUGAAAACUCCGGUGGAUAGAGAUGGGCACGCGCAAGAUUAGAUAGUUGGUGAGGUAACGGCUCACCAAGUCAAUGAUCUUUAGGGGGCCUGAGAGGGUGAUCCCCCACACUGGUACUGAGACACGGACCAGACUCCUACGGGAGGCAGCAGUGAGGAAUAUUGGACAAUGGGUUAGCGCCUGAUCCAGCCAUCCCGCGUGAAGGACGACGGCCCUAUGGGUUGUAAACUUCUUUUGUAUAGGGAUAAACCUACUCUCGUGAGAGUAGCUGAAGGUACUAUACGAAUAAGCACCGGCUAACUCCGUG